AAAAUUACUACCUCGGAUACGAAAUCUGUAACAAACCCUCUUUCUCUCUCUCUAUUCCCCUCGCUUCCCUCGUGAUUCGUGUAAUCCUAGCCCUCCCUCCUCUCUCUCUCUCUAAAAGUAGUGUUCUAGCUGCUGCACAAGGCUUAAAGCCUCGUCUUGCUCUCCUCCUCCAAUUGUCGAAUCAGUCUCUGUACUACAACUCCGUGUUGGAACUGCUCUCUCUCUCUCUCUCUCUCUCUCUCACCCCUUCUUCCUCUAUAUGCGAAUUUAGGGUUUUUGUAGAUGUACACUGAAACUCUUUCCCAACCCCACCACCCUGCCCACGGUGUUUUUCAUCUGUUGCUGAUUCACCUCCUUAAAAUAUGGUUUCUUCUAAAAAGGUUUGGCAAACAUAAUGGCGUUGCUGCAAGUAUUAUGAUCUCUGGCACAAUUCAAGAAAGACGUGUCACUUGAGGUGCUUGGAGUUAUGGAUUGAUCCACUCAAGGUUGGGAUUGGGAAUGAAGCCAUUUGGUCCGCGAAGUUUAAUCAAUAUGUCUAAUAUUGAAAAUUUUUUCCUGUAAAUCAUUUAAUCAAUAUGUUUAAUCUAGUCUGGAUCAAUCAUUUGUUGUACAUCCAGAAGCUCGAUAGUGAUCCUUUCACUCUUCUGCUAUAUAUGCAUUGAGUUUGUUUUGUUUAUUCAAUCCAAAUACAGAAUCAACUAAGAUAGUGGUAGAACUUCCUUAGCUUUCCAUCUUGGCAAUGAUUAAUACUCUACUUAAUCUCAGGUCUAUUAGAUUGACUUCAUAUGAAAUGCUUAUCCUGAUGAGUUUGAAUCAAUAGCAGAGUUCUGAAUUGACUUGCU